rnacentral:rRNA from 1 species
GACGAACGCUGGCGGCGUGCUUAACACAUGCAAGUCGAACGAAGUGGCGAACGGGUGAGUAACGCGUAAUCAACCUGCCCUUCAGAGGGGGACAACAGUUGGAAACGACUGCUAAUACCGCAUACUGAAGGAGGGGAUUGGGUCGGAUUAGCUAGUUGGAGGGGUAAUGGCCCACCAAGGCGAUGAUCAGUAGCAGGUCUGGUGGGAGGAACGGCCACAUUGGGACGGAGACACGGCCCAAGCUCCGAAGGGGGGCAGCAGGGGGGAAUCGUCCGAAAUGGACGAAAGUCUGACGGAGCAACGCCGCGUGGGUGAUGACGGCCUUCGGGUUGUAAAGCUCUGUUAAUCGGGACGCGGUACCGGAAUAGAAAGCCACGGCUAACUACGUGCCAGCAGCCGCGGUAAUAC